UGUAGUGGCACCAUCACUGAAACACUUCUCUUUUAGACACGUUGUCUCACACUUCUCGUAAAAACUAACACAAUUUCUAGGGUUUGAACAAAAAUCUAAAAAGAAGCCUCGGAACCCUGAUUUGGGUUUUCCAACAUCGGGAAAUAUUGAAGCUUAUUGUCUUCCACUCUCUUUAUUGAUAGUGUGGUGACAUAUUCCGGAGACUACUGCGUGUUGUUCCACAAUUAGCAGAUUUUCGCAAAUCAGACCAUCACGUAAGGGACUCUUCCAGCAUCGAUGAAGCUGAUUUCUUUGAAGCUCUUUGCUUGAUGUGAUGUGGUUGUUUGAAGAUAAUUAGAGUUUGUUUAAGUUUGAGUUUCAUUAUUGCAAGAGAAGGUGUAAUAUUUAAAAGAAAAAAUAAUAAGAAUGAAGAAGUAAAACAAAUGAAAUGAUAUUUUUUAAAAUGUUUAUCAGUUAAUUUUUUAAAUAUAUAUGUAUUUAUAAGUUAUAAAUUUUUUU